rnacentral:rRNA from 1 species
UACAGAGGAUGCAAGCGUUAUCCGGAAUGAUUGGGCGUAAAGCGUCUGUAGGUGGCUUUUUAAGUCCGCCGUCAAAUCCCAGGGCUCAACUCUGGACAGGCGGUGGAAACUACCUCGCUAGAGUCCGGAAGAGGAGAGCGGAAUUCCUGGUGUAGCGGUGGAAUGCGCAGAUAUCAGGAGGAACACCCGUGGCGAAGGCGGCUCUCUGGGACGUUACUGACGCUGAGACGCGAAAGCGUGGGGAGCGAACAGG